UAGACCAGGUCAUAUUCACUGAGGGGUUUAAUAGACCAGGUCAUAUUCACUGAGGGGUUUAAUAGACCAGGUCAUAUUCACUGAGGGGUUUAAUAGACCAGGUCAUAUUCACUGAGGGGUUUAAUAGACCAGGUCAUAUUCACUGAGGGGUUUAAUAGACCAGGUCAUAUUCAUAUUCACUGAGGGGUUUAAUAGACCAGGUCAUAUUCACUGAGGGGUUUAAUAGACCAGGUCAUAUUCACUGAGGGGUUUAAUAGACCAGGUCAUAUUCACUGAGGGGUUUAAUAGACCAGGUCAUAUCCACUGAGGGGUUUAAUAGACCAGGUCAUAUUCACUGAGUGGUUUAAUAGACCAGGUCAUAUUCACUGAGUGGUUUAAUAGACCAGGUCAUAUUCACUGAGUGGUUUAAUAGACCAGGUCAUAUUCAUAUUCACUGAGGGGUUUAAUAGACCAGGUCAUAUUCACUGAGGGGUUUAAUAGACCAGGUCAUAUUCACUGAGGGGUUUAAUAGACCAGGUCAUAUUCACUGAGGGGUUUAAUAGACCAGGUCAUAUUCACUGAGGGGUUUAAUAGACCAGGUCAUAUCCACUGAGGGGUUUAAUAGACCAGGUCAUAUCCACUGAGGGGUUUAAUAGACCAGGUCAUAUCCACUGAGUGGUUUAGUAGACCAGGUCAUAUUCACUGAGGGGUUUAAUAGACCAGGUCAUAUCCACUGAGGGGUUUAAUAGACCAGGUCAUAUUCACUGAGGGGUUUAGUAGACCAGGUCAUAUUCACUGAGGGGUUUAAUAGACCAGGUCAUAUUCACUGAGGGGUUUAAUAGACCAGGUCAUAUUCACUGAGGGGUUUAAUAGACCAGGUCAUAUUCAUAUUCACUGAGGGGUUUAAUAGACCAGGUCAUAUUCAUAUCCACUGAGGGGUUUAAUAGACCAGGUCAUAUUCACUGAGGGGUUUAAUAGACCAGGUCAUAUUCACUGAGGGGUUUAAUAGACCAGGUCAUAUUCACUGAGGGGUUUAAUAGACCAGGUCAUAUCCACUGAGGGGUUUAAUAGACCAGGUCAUAUUCACUGGGGGGUUUAAUAGACCAGGUCAUAUCCACUGAGGGGUUUAAUAGACCAGGUCAUAUCCACUGAGGGGUUUAAUAGACCAGGUCAUAUUCACUGAGGGGUUUAAUAGACCAGGUCAUAUUCACUGAGGGGUUUAAUAGACCAGGUCAUAUUCACUGAGGGGUUUAAUAGACCAGGUCAUAUUCACUGAGGGGUUUAAUAGACCAGGUCAUAUCCACUGAGGGGUUUAAUAGACCAGGUCAUAUCCACUGAGGGGUUUAAUAGACCAGGUCAUAUUCACUGAGGGGUUUAAUAGACCAGGUCAUAUUCAUAUUCACUGAGGGGUUUAAUAGACCAGGUCAUAUUCAUAUUCACUGAGUGGUUUAAUAGACCAGGUCAUAUUCAUAUUCA